AUUGAACGCUGGCGGCAGGCCUAACACAUGCAAGUCGAGCGAGCGGCGGACGGGUGAGUAAUGUAUGGGGACUGCCCGAUAGAGGGGGAUAACUACUGGAAACGGUAGCUAAUACCGCAUACUAUCGGAUAACCCAUAUGGGAUUAGCUAGUAGGUGAGGUAAUGGCUCACCUAGGCGACGAUCCCUAGCUGGUCUGAGAGGAUGAUCAGCCACACUGGGACUGAGACACGGCCCAUCCUCCUACGGAGGCAGCAGUGGGGAAUAUUGCACAAUGGGAGCAAGCCUGAUGUAGCCAUGCCGCUUGUAUGAAGACGGCCCUAGGGUUGUAAAGUACUUUCAGUCUGGAGGCGUUACCGACAGAUGAAGCACCGGCUAAGUCCGUGCCAGCAGCGGCGGUAAUUC
rnacentral:rRNA from 1 species